UACGAAGGGGGCUAGCGUUGCUCGGAAUUACUGGGCGUAACGCGCACGUAGGCGGCUUCUUACGUCUGUGGUGAAAUCCUGGAGCUCAACUCCAGAACUGCCUUCGAUACUGGGAAGCUCGAGUCCGGGAGAGGUGAGUGGAACUGCGAGUGUAGAGGUGAAAUUCGUAGAUAUUCGCAAGAACACCAGUGGCGAAGGCGGCUCACGGGCCAGGUACUGACGCUGAGGUGCGAAAGCGUGGGGAGCAAACAGG
rnacentral:rRNA from 1 species